rnacentral:tRNA from 1 species
GGGAUCUUAGCUCAGCUGGGAGAGUAUCUGCCUUACAAGCAGAGGGUCAUAGGUUCGAGCCCUAUAGGUCCCA